UCGUAACAAGGUUUCCGUAGGUGAACCUGCGGAAGGAUCAUUACCGAGUGAGGGCCCUCUGGGUCCAACCUCCCACCCGUGUUUAUUUACCUUAUUGCUUCGGCGGGCCCGCCUUCACUGGCCGCCGGGGGGCUCACGCCCCCGGGCCCGCGCCCGCCGAAGACACCCCGAACUCUGUCUGAAGAAUGAAGUCUGAGUGAAAAUAUAAAUUAUUUAAAACUUUCAACAACGGAUCUCUUGGUUCCGGCAUCGAUGAAGAACGCAGCGAAAUGCGAUACGUAAUGUGAAUUGCAAAUUCAGUGAAUCAUCGAGUCUUUGAACGCACAUUGCGCCCCCUGGUAUUCCGGGGGGCAUGCCUGUCCGAGCGUCAUUGCUGCCCUCAAGCCCGGCUUGUGUGUUGGGCCUCGUCCUCCGAUUCUGGGGGACGGGCCCGAAAGGCAGCGGCGGCACCGCGUCCGGUCCUCGAGCGUAUGGGGCUCUGUCACCCGCUCUGUAGGCCCGGCCGGCGCUUGCCGAUCAACCCAAAUUUUUAUCCAGGUUGACCUCGGAUCAGGUAGGGAUACCCGCUGAACUUAAGCAUAUCAAUAA
rnacentral:misc_RNA from 1 species